GACGAACGCUGGCGGCGUGCUUAACACAUGCAAGUUGAACGGUGAACCGGGCUUCGGCCCGGGGAUCAGUGGCGAACGGGUGCGUAACACGUGGGCAACCUGCCCCAGACACUGGGAUAACCCCGGGAAACCGGGGCUAAUACCGGAUACUCCGCUCGGACCGCAUGGUCCGAUCGGGAAAGCUCCGACGGUCUGGGAUGGGCCCGCGGCCUAUCAGCUCGUUGGUGGGGUAACGGCCUACCAAGGCGACGACGGGUAGCUGGUCUGAGAGGACGACCAGCCACACUGGAACUGAGAUACGGUCCAGACUCCUACGGGAGGCAGCAGUGGGGAAUCUUGCACAAUGGGCGAAAGCCUGACGCAGCGACGCCGCGUGGGGGACGAAGGCCCUCGGGUUGUAAACCCCUUUCGGCAGGGAAGAAGCGCAAGUGACGGUACCUGCAGAAGAAGCUCCGGCUAACUACGUGCCAGCCGCCGCAGUAA
rnacentral:rRNA from 1 species